CUUCCCAGCUGCCUCACAAGGAUAUCCAUGACAGCAGUGAUUCAUGCUGGCUUGCUGGUGAACUCACUGGGCAGGAAGCCUCAAUACAAGUGACAGAUAGGUCUUAGUGUUGCUCUUGACUAAUGACAGGGUUUCUGGCUGCCCAGG
rfam:Vicugna pacos cont1.305997, whole genome shotgun sequence.